UGGGGAAUUUUCCGCAAUGGGCGAAAGCCUGGCGGAGCAAUGCCGCGUGGAGGUGGAAGGCCUACGGGUCGUCAACUUCUUUUCUCGGAGAAGAAACAAUGACGGUAUCUGAGGAAUAAGCAUCGGCUAACUCUGUGCCAA
rnacentral:rRNA from 1 species